rnacentral:rRNA from 1 species
AACGAACGCUGGCGGCGUGCCUAACACAUGCAAGUCGUGCGAGAAAGUUCCUUCGGGAGCGAGUAAAGCGGCGCACGGGUGAGUAACACGUAGGUAACCUGCCCCCCAGUCUGGAACAACUAGAGGAAACUCUAGCUAAUGCCGGAUGAGACCACGAUCCCUUCGGGGGUUGCGGCCAAAGAUGGCCUCUACUUGUAAGCUAUCGCUGAGGGAUGGGCCUGCGGGCCAUUAGCUUGUUGGUGAGGUAACGGCUCACCAAGGCUGUGAUGGCUAGCUGGUCUGAGAGGAUGACCAGCCACACUGGGACUGAGACACGGCCCAGACUCCUACGGGAGGCCAGCAGUGGGAAUAUUGCGCAAUGGGCGAAAGCCUGACGCAGCGACGCCCGCGUGGGUGAUGAAGGCC